GGUUUGGUUUUUUUUAAAACCAUCCAUUUUUCAACAAAGAUGUUAU
rfam:Manacus vitellinus contig10391, whole genome shotgun sequence.